rnacentral:tRNA from 1 species
UUGCUUCUAGUUUAAGUUAGAAUGUUGACUUGUCGGGUUGAAGGUAUAUGUAGUUGUUUUUGUUUGAAGCAAG